rnacentral:rRNA from 1 species
GUGGGGAAUAUUGGACAAUGGGCGAAAGCCUGAUCCAGCCAUGCCGCGUGUGUGAAGAAGGUCUUCGGAUUGUAAAGCACUUUAAGUUGGGAGGAAGGGCAGUAAGUUAAUACCUUGCUGUUUUGACGUUACCGACAGAAUAAGCACCGGCUAACUUCGUGCCAGCAGCCGCGGUAAUACGAAGGGUGCAAGCGUUAAUCGGAAUUACUGGGCGUAAAGCGCGCGUAGGUGGUUCAGCAAGUUGGAGGUGAAAUCCCCGGGCUCAACCUGGGAACUGCCUCCAAAACUACUGGGCUAGAGUACGGUAGAGGGUAGUGGAAUUUCCUGUGUAGCGGUGAAAUGCGUAGAUAUAGGAAGGAACACCAGUGGCGAAGGCGACUACCUGGACUGAUACUGACACUGAGGUGCGAAAGCGUGGGGAGCAAACAGGAUUAGAAACCCGAGUAGUUCC